rnacentral:lncRNA from 1 species
AUGAACUCUAAUUAUAUUCUGAUUUUCACGCAGGAAAAUCCACCUUUUCCCUUGUGUUUCACUUAUACUCUCAAAUUGAAGUAUUGUGUACAUAGAAUAAACACUGAGUUCUCUGAAGUAAAGGUAUUCUUAACAGUGCUUAAGAAACUAUUAAUACGUUCUACCCCUUCCCCAGAUCACUGGUUGCAGGCCCUCCUAUGCCCUGGUGCCCUUCAGCAUCUUUACAACUCGGUCUUCACAUCUUCUAAACAUCUCUGUCAAGUUUUCCUCCUGGCCAUGAUUGAUGUGUUUUUUUUGUGUGUUUUUUUGUUUUGUUUUGUUUUUUGUUUUGUUUUGUUUUGUCCCAGAGGCAAAGAGCCAGUUACAUAUUCCUUUAAAUUUUUAUACCAUUCUGGGGCCUUGACUUUUUUUUUUUUUUUUAUCAGAAUGUCCAAAUUUCCUCAUUCUUUGUGGAAUUACAACUUCUCCUUGGCUUCAAGAACUUUUCGACCCUCCAAAGGAACCUGCCUCCUUCCUCAGCAUCCACUGGCCAGUUCGGGUUUUCAUUUGUUGGGCUCCAGAGUAAGAAAAACAUCCCUGCCUGCACCAUUUUCCUUCCCAGCUGAGCUGCAUGUGGUUGCACCCACCUCAGAGGCUGCAUCAGCAAUGUUGCAAGUGAUCAGAACCCUUGUCCCAAUGCCAUCCAUCAAAAGCUCAUUGGCACAUCCCUGCUCUGUGGAAUGA